AAUAGAUUGUAGAUAAUUGAUAUCGUCGAGGACUUCAGUUGGACUUGCCACAUCCAAAAACUUUACUCAUAGGGGAAAUGAGAAGCUGAUAUUAAAGUCUUGCGGGGUUCAGGUUGACAUUCUGGGUAACGAGUGUCGAUUGAGACAACGCGACGGUUGUCACGAGCUCGAAGGGAGUACCGAGUCGUGACAGUUUUUAUAAUCGUAUGGCAGCCGAAAGACAUGUUGAAGUAAAUGAUGGUGAUGUUCAAGCAAUGCUGUUAUAUUUUGGAGUGAAAAAAGAAAUAGAUAAUGGAUUCUACAUGAAGCACACAACUUAUGAUGAUAACAAACUGAAGAAUUUAUUUUGGGCUGAUUCUAUAUCAAGAUCAGAUUAUGCUUGUUUCGGUGAUGUUUUGGCAUUUGACACAACUUAUAAGAAAAACACAUUUAAUUUGCC